AAACUUUUAAAUUAUCCCUCUUAACUUUUGCAUCCCCAAUUUUCAAACCCCUACCACCACCUCAACCCUCAACCUUUUACUAUCAUCCAAAUCUGUCUUCUUCUAACUCCCGUUCCCAACCACCGUCACCACCAUCUUCACUACUGUUGCCUCCUUCUCUUUACUACUGCCACCAUCACACUCUCCUGCAUUAUUUGGGCCACAUCCAGGUGCAGCGCUGCUAGUGAAUUAUAUUUCUCUAUAGCUCACUGUUUAUUGAAUUGCCUUCUAGGUAAUUGUAAGCAAUUGUGAAUAAAUUAAUGAAAAUAGAGCUUCCUGUAUUUUGUAUUUUCCUCUUGUCCUAUUGUAAUUUGUAUAUAACGUACGUUUCCACAUCUCUUCCUCCAGGGAAAUAAAUAUUGCUAUUUUUCUGGCUGAGAUACCUGCCCCAAGCUAUUACUCUUCCACUCCAUUAGGCAAGCACUCACCAACUGUUGGUGGAGGCUCAUCGCAAUGCCAACGUUCAUAAUCUGAGAAGAGAGGAUCAGAGAGGAUUUUGGAGUAUGAUGGUGGUGGUGACGGUAGCAAUGAUGGCGACGGUGGUGGUGGUGAUAGAUGGGGAUGAAAGUUGGAUGAUAAACAAUUUGGGUAAUGGUGGCA
rnacentral:lncRNA from 1 species